UACGUAGGUGGCAAGCGUUGUCCGGAUUUACUGGGCGUAAAGGGCGUGCAGGCGGUCUGUUAAGUCUAGGGUGAAAGCUCCCGGCUCAACUGGGAGAGGUCCUUGGAUACUGGCGGACUUGAGGGAUGCAGAGGAAAGUGGAAUUCCCGGUGUAGUGGUGAUAUGCGUAGAUAUCGGGAGGAACACCAGUGGCGAAGGCGGCUUUCUGGGCAUUACCUGACGCUGAGACGCGAAAGCGUGGGGAGCAAACAGG
rnacentral:rRNA from 1 species